GGUUGCUGAUGCUGUUGUAGAAGGUGAACCCGGAACUCAGCAGCGACGUGCACAGGCUGAGCACCAGCAGCAGGACGACCACCAAGUGGAGCGUUCUUCGGGAAGAAUUGUUCAACUUCUCUAGAACUAAAGCAGCGUUGGGUCAGCACGGAGCCCAAAAUGCAAACCCCAGCCCUACAGACGGGAGGGCCGCUCCCCGCCACCCGGGUGGCUCUUGGACUCCAUCCGCUUGGGCACCGGGGUUAGGAGCUGCAGGGGGCAUCUCGGUGUGCCAGAGCAGGAAGGGGCGGGGCCUCACAAUGCUCAGGCCCCCCUUGAAUGUGUGUAACCACAGGACCGUCCCAAUUUCAAUUUCCCAGAGGAAAGAGGGUGCCCUCCUCGAUAGAGCGGCUACAGGGCUGGACGGCCGUCCUCAGUGCGUUCUGGCCUCAGACGCCUGCCAUGGAAAUUUCCACAUCAUCACGGACAGUGUCCCCCCCGCUCGGAGCACUACGAUGCUUCCACUUGGGGGGACUUAUAGGAGGCCACUCUGAAAACCUGUGACAGAGAGGAUCUGGCAGAGGCUGAGAUUUCGGAGGUCGGCUCGUUACAGAGAAGGCCAGGAGGAGAGGAACUGAUGGUGACCAGGUAGCUGGCCCUGGAGACAGGCAGAUGACUGCUGUGUGGACAAGUGAGGUGUCUCCACACUUCCCGACUUCACUUCCCCGGAGCCGGAGAGGACCCAGGGCCCACGUGGCUCGAAUGCAUGCGGAGGGUGGACCUUGGGUGAACCAUCAGAAUUCUCUCCGAGCUGAAUUCCUCUGGGUCCUGACGGCAUUUUAUAAAACGCGCGUAUCUCUUACGUGCAGAGGGGCGCCAGGCAUGAAUACGCACUCGCAUCCGAAACACAGAUGCCCCGGGCCCCUAGCCAUCAGUUCCUGCUUUUGCCAUCCUGCUGUUUCUAACCGCAACCAGCCACCCUCCCCGUGUCCCUGCUUCCUCUGCUCACUCCUCUGUUUACGACACCGAACGACCGGUGACCGGAGGCAUGUGUCCCCACGCUUACCUGUAACCCCAGCCAGGCACUUACAGAACGUCUCCAAAGGCUACCGGUGCGUUUUGGGGCCCUGGUGACUGCCACCACAUUGACUAAAGUGUUUACCAAGAUGUUCUGUGAAAGCCACGGCGACGUACAGAAAAAAUAAUCGGGGAAAAAGGUUUCCGAGCUCCUAGUAUCACGCUAACAAAACCCUUGGGAGUUGCCAGAUGUAAGAACCGUGACUAGGGGGCUGGUAAGAGAAAGUAAAAGCCUUCUUCUUUCCCUUCCUGUUUCUCAGGCCCCUGGGAUAGAGCAGAGAGCCACUCACAGCCUCACCACAGAGCAGCUUUAAAGAACAGAAACCAGAAGGGCCAGGAAAGAUCCCUUGUCCCAGGGCUCGGGGGCCCCUUGUCUCUGUCUCUGGUCCCAAUGCUUCAAAGAACAGGAGCCCCAGGGCCUUGUGCGCACCAGGGAGAAGCGUCCUAGCAGCAAGGGGCCCUCUCUUUGCAAGGUGUCUCCUUCUCAUCACUGUGUCGCCUCCGUUAUUCGAAAUCUCUUCACCGUGCUGUGCCCAGAUGCGUAUCUCCAGGACUUCUGCCCAGAGUCCUGAUGCUUCCUCUGGAGCAACACAGGAUCCCCUUGCUCCGCUCUGCCUGGCAGCCUUUCAGGUAUUUGAAGAGAGAUCGAAACCCCAGUGUGAUUGACAGCCCGCGUCUCCGGAAUGUUCUUUGUCAGGCAUGAUUCCAAAGCUCCUGCCAGCCUGACCCCAGCUCUGUACACACUUUACUCUGACUGCAAGCUUCAAAACAUGCUGGCCAGAGGGCACAGCUCUCCCGGGGUCCGAACAUCUACAUUGUGAGUUCAGAUUUGUGGCUGUUAAUCAGCCGUCCUCUAGGAGGGAGACAGACUUCCUGUCAUUGGACAGUGGGCAGCGAGAGGCUGCAGAAACCAAACUGGCGAAAACAAGAGCAGAGACUUGCAUACUGCCCCGUGCAGCCCUGGGAGCCCUGUGGGGGAGCACAGAGGCAGAAGAGGGGGGUUCCCAGCCCAGCGACAUGGACACGAUGACGUCACCGCCCUUGGCUGGAGAACAUUUUGCUCCUCGGUGAGAGGCGGGCCUGAGAGCAAAGUUCACCUCCCACACGGCCAGUCCCCUUGUGCCCAGCGGUACUUGGACUUCUGCUAAUGACCCACGGGCAGGGCCAAGUCCUUAGCACAGCUCUCUGUGUGACGCAUCCCAGGGCCAAGCGUUGGAAUCAGGAAAACCACCUCACAAUUGGAACUAAUUGCCCAGAUUCUGGCAACCUCAGGAAAGAGGCCAUGGCCCCCACAGCUGGGAGGCAGAAAUGUGCUGGGGGCAGUGGGCAGUGUGCAGAAAUGGGUCAUCUGGACAUCCGGGCUUUCUAUGCGUGGAGAUUUAACCCUUCGGGACCCACUAGCCAUCUGGUCCUUCUAGCUCUGGUUUUCCAGAAGUCCUCAGAACUCAGGGGAGAGCCAGUGGCUUUGUGGGUGGGUGGGAACUGCCACCACCCGCUCCUCAAACACCUGGUCAUCAGGGAGCCUGGCCUGGUGGACCCCUCAGCCCGUGGACCACAGCGUACCCCUAACAGGCUGGGCCUUUGAGAUCUUCCAAAAAGUCCCAGCUGGCAUGACGAGCCUCUGGGAAAUGUAUCUGGGUUCUCUCGGGGAGAGAGGGAGGGAGAGUGCAUUUUCCACCCUUAUGCUCCAUCACCCAGCGUGGUCAUGUCUCUGGGGACAAGUAACAAGUUGCUCGUCCUUGGAAAAGCAUAGGUGUAUAUGGGGUGGGGUAGGCGAGUAGGAGUAUUAAGGAAGAAAUAAGCCUCUUUUGUUCAUCUCCUUGCAAUUCAUUGAUUUUUGCAGCAGAUUUACUUUUUCUAUUUAUUGGUAGCUUGGGCCAAUAGUGCAAUUUUGGGUCCCCCGAGAACAAACUGGGUAGGUGGAGAAAAGAGACUGGUGGGCCAGUUUGUUUGUUUGUUUGUUUGUUUGUUGUUGUUGUUUUGGGUGGGGGGGAAGAUUGCAGACUGGGUGAAAUUCUCCCUUGCUCUCAUAGCAACCUGCACCACCUGAUUUAACUGAUGGGGGCCUUUCUCCAGAUAGAAGCUAUGGUGAGUUGACCAAGGCCAGCAGCCAUGUGCAACGCCUCUCAUAUCCCCUCCCCUCCCUCAUGAAGCAGCUGCUCAGGGAAGUGUUUUGGACUGACAUUCACUAUCCAGAACUUUUGGAGUAGCAAAAGCCAGGUGCUUACUGGUAGACACAGGGCCUGUAACUCUUCAUCUGGAUAUUGAACAAACCUGGAGACCACUAGAAGAAGCUAGGAGAUGUCCCGGUCAGGCUGAGCUGCCCAAAUAAUCUAGCGACACACUGGAGAGUUUGCUUUCCAGGUUUGGCUGAAUAUUUCCCCCACCGGUUGACAUAUUGGUGGCUGGAUUCUUCUGGCAUGUGGAUAUCAGCCAUUGUCCCUUUAUGCUGUGCUGUCAUUUCCAAAUCUACAGCCCCCGUCGGCACGAUAUGUUCAAUCCCAUGCAGAAAUAUUGCAGAGCUUGGCAAUAGUAACUAUUCUUUGGAGAUCUUCAGGCCAAGAAGCUGGCAUGGUUGACAUCUUAUUAAAUGGAAAGGUUAGCCCUUCACUGCUGGGGAAGGAAGUGGCAUUUAUACAGAUACUAUUAUACCGCCGAUGAUCGGUUGCUGAUUUGAGAUGAGCCCCAGGUGGUCAUGGGAAACCAGCAGAGCAGCACCCCUUCCUCAGUCUCCAAUUCUGCUCUCCGGGGAAAACAUCCCUGGGUCUGCAGCGGCUGAACACCACGAUAUACGUCCUAGUUACAUGACGUUUCCCUAUCUUGGAGAACUGUUGAGUACUCCAAGUUCAAGGGUUGUAAAAACCAUCAGCAAGGAAGCCCCCAUAGGCUCUGGGGAGCCCUUAGCAGACAUGAGCUGGAGCAGCUGAACUGUGUGCCUUCACUGAUCAGGACGUGGUUUAUCUUCUACGGCACCUAGAGGCUGGCAGUGACUUCACAACAUUGGAACGCGGCUCUGCAGUAACAGAGUAAAAGCAGAGAGCCAGGCAACGCAAAGGCAAAUGUGGGCCCUGAGCCUUCAGGAUUGUCCCAGCCUACGCCCACCCCUGCCCUCUCCACUCCAUGGUGCCCACUUCCCUCACACGGGGCUGCAGAGCCAGGCUGGGACCUACCCUUGCGGCCUCUGACGUUCCCUGACACAGGGAAGCAGGGCUCUCCCUGAAGCCACGUCUCUCAAAUUGGAGCGGACUGAUUCCAAACAGACACAGCAUGAAAAUCAAAAAAUUCGCAGGCUGCUAUCACAUAUUUUAAAAAAUGUUAAAUGUGUGUGGAGAUUCAGGAACUAUGACACAUUCUGGCUUUGAAAAUGCUAUUCACAUCCUGAAUGUGUGACUGAAUCUUGGAAAGUCUUAGCUUCUGGGUGCCACAAAAGGAAUAUUCCUCCUUUCCUUGAGAAGCUGAGGUCAGGGCUGGAGGGGGGGACGGGGAGGGAGGUGGCAUUACCUACAGGCUGGAGGAGACGUUGCUUUUGCUAAUGUCUUAAAAGACAAAUUCUAUAACUUGGAAAUACAACCACGUUGCUCAAACUCAGACUAAAGGCUUGAGUCUAAGGCUCCAACUCAAACUAAAUAUUACAUUUGUACGAGAUAGAAAACCAUGCACAAGUCAAGAGGUAAUGACUGUAUCGGGCUGAUAAUGCCUGGCUACCUGUAUGCAACACUGUUUAAUGCAAGGUCAAGUUGCUGAAUAAGUUACAAAGACCGCUCUUAAUUUUUGAAAAUGUAGUGGUAUAUGUUCAAUCUUCAAAAGUCAAAUAGGUAGCUAAAUUCAACUUAGCAUUCUCAGUGAAUUUUUGUGUUCCACCCAUCAAGAGAGGAGAGCAUUAUUAUACAAGAAAUCAGAAAAAAAAAUGGGGCAUUCCUACAAAACAUGCAAUUAAUAGAAUUAACAGAAAUUUAGUACCAGGUCUGACAAAAAUGAGAUGUUUUGGAGGUAAAAAUUCAAAUUCGAGUAGAUUAAAGAAAUGAACUGGAGAUCUAAGAAGGAGAACCUGAUCACAUUUUCCACUUUAGUUUUUCCUUGCCACCAACAAAGUUCUGAACAGGGACUGUUACCCCAUCUAAAAAUCCACCAUCCAUACGCAUACUUUUCCUACUACCCUCCUAUGUUGGAUACCAUAUUCCUGCUACAUAUAUUUAAUUAAUUAGUUACUUGUCAGUAGACUUGGUAAUAUCACUUAAACAUCGCCUCUGCCAGAAUUAUGUGGACCACGGUGCUCAUAGACACAACCAGAACUGAGGAAGCUAAAACAAUAAUGUGGUGAAGUUUCAAAAUUAAAGAUAUAUUUUCAUACCUACAAGCCAUCUCAACGCUUACAAGGAGAUCAUUUUUGAACAGUUCUUUGGCCCAUAAGGAGGAUGACUUGGGUCUUACCCAGCUAACACAGUCUCACUGCACCCCAUUCAGAUUAAUUUAUCAUUUACCUGCAAAGCCUUUUUGUGAUUCCUCAAGUCCAUGACUGAAUUCUUGGUGACUCUUGCCUUGAAAAAGUCCAUAGGUGAUAACAAGACUACCGUUUGAAGACGAGUCACUGAUGGCAAUUUGACUGCUGACCCAUUCUUGAGUCCCGAGCAUGGAGCAGACUACGAUGAAUGACCCGAAGCUUGUAAAGAAGCUGGAUAAAAACAUCAGUGUUUUCUUCUUCGUAGGCAUCUUCUCAGGAAAGUAGGGGUCCUAAGGUUAAAAAAAUAUCAAAGGUCUUUUGAUAAUAUUUUUGGACCCACUUGGAGUCCAGUAUUUAGAAAUGGAGUCGAAUGCUUCUUAUAAAAUAUGAAAGCUGGCUCUUCAUAGGAAGGAAUAUACCAAGGACCAUUGGACUAUGAACAUGGCCAUAAAGAUUUACAGCACCUGAACUUUGGUCUGGAGUAAGGGGUUGCUAUGGUUACAGCCAACCAGUGGAAACAAGGGCUAGGCAUGGUCUUCCUAAGGACUUCCUGGAUCACACAAUUAAUUUAUAACUCUUUGCCAUGCGCCCUCGAAGCAAGUUCAGCCUACCAUGUCAGGACAGGACUAGAAUCCCUAAAAAAAUGUGGAUCUGUCCUUCAAAAAUGUUGCUGAUUCUAGCAGCCAACAACAUAGACUUGCUUUACUGGUUAAGGACUUGACCCUAACAACAGUUCAAAAAGAACCCUAAGAAGAUUAAGUCUUUGCUAAAGGCUCUAUGGAACGAAAAGAGAAAAGUUUACAAGCUCCUUAGUUUUUGACUUUGCUAGAGAGGUGCACGUUUGAAAUUUCCUCUUCCAAACUAGACUAUAUUUGUACGUUAUUUAAAUUAUAACUUGAGAAGGUACAUCUUUAUUUGUCUUUCGUGCUCUGAUGGAAAUGGUUCUGAACAUUCUGGCAUUAGGGCUUUCUGCCACCUAUCCAUCCUCCCUGUUAAGCAACUAAUGGUUUACCAAUGCUCCUUUCUGUCUCUCAGAGAAACUCCCCCACACUGCAAGCAGAUCACUUCACGAGAUAAUAAAAAGAUGUCCACAACG